rfam:Curvibacter sp. GWA2_64_110 gwa2_scaffold_467, whole genome shotgun sequence.
GACGAAUCUAUUGCCUGCCAAGCCCUGCCGUUACCGCGGCCGGGGGAGGGCAGCGAAAAGAGGAAUCC